UUUCCUAAUUGGUAGAAUAGAUGCUUUAUAAUUCCUAAAGCAGAAGAAUUUGAAAUGUCUGAGAUAGACUUGUUUGUUUUAGGGCUUAAAAUCUGAAUCCUCAGUGAACUAGAGGAAGAGAAUGAUGAAGUCCUCAAGAGUCUUACUAGUGAUCCUGUGGCUUCAGUUAACCCAGAUGACGAGUCAACAGAAGGGAGUGGAGCAGAGUCCUGGAUCUCUGAGCACUCUGGAGGGAACCACUGCCUCUCUCAACUGCAAUUAUAGUGACAGUGCUUCCCAGUACUUCAUGUGGUACAGACAGUAUUCUGGGAAGGGCCCUGAGUUGCUGAUGAACAUAUACUCCAAAGGUGAAAAAGAAGAAGGAAGAUUUGCAGUGCAGGUCGAUAGAGCAAAACAGUAUGUCUCCUUGCUCAUCAGAGAUUCCCAGCCCAGUGACUCAGCCACCUACCUCUGUGCAGUGAGCCGCACAGUGCUCCCCUGGCUCCUGCUGUCUGUACCCAAACCUGCUGGGGCCCUAGCAAUGCCUGAUAUAGAACCUAGGUUGCAGGGUAGAGAAAUUCUGUUUGCUCUCUAGAUGCAAAUGUGAAUUAAGAGCAUUAGC